rnacentral:rRNA from 1 species
GGUUGAUCCUGCCAGCAAUCAUAUGCUUGUCUCAAAGAUUAAGCCAUGCAUGUCUAAGUAUAAGUGAUUAUACGGCGAAACUGCGGAUGGCUCAUUAUAUCAGUUAUAAUCUACUUGAUCGAUUCUGUUAUUUGGAUAACUGUAGGAAUUCUAGAGCUAAUACAUGCAAAAGGACUGGACUGGGGCAACCUGGGAAGGUCGUGUUUACUAGUUGAGAAGCCAGUUGGGGCGCAAGUCCCAAAACAGAUGAUUCAUAGUAAGACUCUGCACGAAUCGUGGGCUUAGGUCUGCG